rnacentral:rRNA from 1 species
AUGCAAGUCGAACGGUAACAGGUUAAGCUGACGAGUGGCGAACGGGUGAGUAAUAUAUCGGAACGUGCCCAGUAGUGGGGGAUAGCCCGGCGAAAGCCGGAUUAAUACCGCAUACGACCUACGGGUGAAAGCGGGGGAUCGCAAGACCUCGCGCUAUUGGAGCGGCCGAUAUCAGAUUAGCUAGUUGGUGGGGUAAAAGCUCACCAAGGCGACGAUCUGUAGCUGGUCUGAGAGGACGACCAGCCACACUGGGACUGAGACACGGCCCAGACUCCUACGGGAGGCAGCAGUGGGGAAUUUUGGACAAUGGACGCAAGUCUGAUCCAGCCAUGCCGCGUGCGGGAAGAAGGCCUUCGGGUUGUAAACCGCUUUUGUCAGGGAAGAAAAGUCUGGAGCUAAUAUCUCCGGACGAUGACGGUACCUGAAGAAUAAGCACCGGCUAACUACGUGCCAGCAGCCGCGGUAAUACGUAGGGUGCAAGCGUUAAUCGGAAUUACUGGGCGUAAAGCGUGCGCAGGCGGUUCUAUUAGACAGAUGUGAAAU